rnacentral:rRNA from 1 species
UAGGGAAUCUUCGGCAAUGGGGGGAACCCUGACCGAGCAACGCCGCGUGAGUGAAGAAGGUUUUCGGAUCGUAAAGCUCUGUUGUUAAGGAAGAACGGGUGUGAGAAUGGAAAGUUCAUACUGUGACGGUACUUAACCAGAAAGGGACGGCUAACUACGUGCCAGCAGCCGCGGUAAUACGUAGGUCCCGAGCGUUGUCCGGAUUUAUUGGGCGUAAAGCGAGCGCAGGCGGUUAGAUAAGUCUGAAGUUAAAGGCAGUGGCUCAACCAUUGUAGGCUUUGGAAACUGUUUAACUUGAGUGCAGAAGGGGAGAGUGGAAUUCCAUGUGUAGCGGUGAAAUGCGUAGAUAUAUGGAGGAACACCGGUGGCGAAAGCGGCUCUCUGGUCUGUAACUGGCGCUGAGGCUCGAAAGCGUGGGGAGCGAACAGG